rnacentral:rRNA from 1 species
UUGGAGGGCAAGUCUGGUGCCAGCAGCCGCGGUAAUUCCAGCUCCAAUAGCGUAUAUUAAAGUUGCUGCAGUUAAAAAGCUCGUAGUUGAAUUUCGGGACCAUCAUGUCGGUCGUGCCUCGGUACGUACUGGUAUUGUUGGUUUCUCCCUUCUGACGAACCAUGAUGUCAUUUAUUUGGUGUUGUGGGGAAUCAGGACUGUUACUUUGAAAAAAUAGAGUGUUUAAAGCAGGCUCACGCUUGAAUACAUUAGCAUGGAAUAAUGAAAUAGGACGUUUGAUUCUAUUUUGUUGGUUUCUAGGAUCGACGUAAUGAUUAAUAGGGAUAGUUGGGGGCAUUAGUAUUCAAUUGUCAGAGGUGAAAUUCUUGGAUUUAUUGAAGACUAACUACUGCGAAAGCAUUUGCCAAGGAUGUUUUCAUUAUUCAAGAACGAAAGUUAGGGGAUCGAAGACGAUCAGAUACCGUCGUAGUCUUAACCAUAAACUAUGCCAACUAGGGAUCGGAUGAUGUUAAUUUUUUAAUGACUCAUUCGGCGCCUUACGGGAAAC